CCUACGGGUGGCAGCAGUGAGGAAUAUUGGUCAAUGGACGCAAGUCUGAACCAGCCAUGCCGCGUGCAGGAAGACGGCUCUAUGAGUUGUAAACUGCUUUUGUACGAGGGUAAACGCAGAUACGCGUAUCUGUCUGAAAGUAUCGUACGAAUAAGGAUCGGCUAACUCCGUGCCAGAAGCCGCGGUAAUACGGAGGAUUCAAGCGUUAUCCGGAUUUAGUGGGUUUAAAGGGUGCGUAGGCGGUCGGAUAAGUUAGAGGUGAAAUCCAGAGGCUCAACUUCGGAAUUGCCUCUGAUACGGUUCGGCUAGAGAGUAGAUGCGGUAGGCGGAAUGUAUGGUGUAGCGGUGAAAUGCUUAGAGAUCAUACAGAACACCGAUUGCGAAGGCAGCUUACCAAGCUACUUCUGACGUUGAGGCACGAAAGCGUGGGGAGCAAACAGGAUUAGAUACCCUAGUAGUC
rnacentral:rRNA from 1 species